GAGUGCGGGAGAAGUAGGCGGAAUUCNUUGUGUAGCGGUGAAAUGCAUAGAUAUAAGGAGGAACACCGGUAGCGAAGGCAGCUUAAUGGACUGUAACUGACGGUCAGGCAAGAAAGCGUGGGGAGCAAACAGGAUUAGAUACCCUGGUAGUCCACGCAGUAAACGAUGAUCGCUGGGUGUUGGGUAGAGACAUUCAGUGCCGGAGCNAACACA
rnacentral:rRNA from 1 species